GAGGGGGGCUUAAUUUUCGGUGGAGUGGAGUGGGUCUGCUUCUCCCCUUGACUGGGUCUUCUUUGGACUUAAGGUCGAUCGGGCUCAACUUAGCCGAGAUCGAGGUUGUAAGCUCUGAGGUCGGGCGCCUUGAGGGUUGCCGCACUCGCUAUCACGUAUCGGCGAUAUAUCCACGUAUUUUGAGCAGUCCACUUUUUCCCCAACAACACCCUUUUUGAAAAUUUUCACUAUAAUCCUUCUAAGAUUACAAUCCAAUUAUUUUGACCGAGCACAUAAUCAACCUAGUUGAUUUUCACUAGAAAUCAACCAAAACCGCUACCAAGACAUUCUUCAGGCUCAAUACAAUCCAAUUCAAUAUUUGGAUGGAUGUUCUUUCAAGUUUUAGUCCUUGCAACUUGUCAUAAUAGAGUAUAGAGAAAAUGUAUGAUACAAAUAAAUUACAACUCCU
rnacentral:lncRNA from 1 species